ACACACACACACACACACACAUAAAUAGCAAAACAAAAGCGGGCCUCUCUCGAAGAUCAUUUCGCAUCCCCCCCCCCCCCCCAGCAAUCGAACGAGCAUCCAAGCUGCCCUGUGCACACCUGACCACUGCUGCUGUUGUCUGUCUGCCCUGCGUCUCCGAUUCCUUGUUGUCGUUUCCUUUUCUCUUGCUGUUGUGUGCCUGUGUGUCUCUGUGCCUGCUGCUGUUUGUGUGUGGGCUUGUGUACAUGCGUGCGUGAAGCUAUCCACGGAGGAGAUGGUCGGUGUGCGGUGCUCCUUCUUUUGUUUUUCUUGUUCGUGACCGACUCGGCACCAACUUCAGAGGAAGCGCGUUUCCUUCCCUUGACUCAGCCUCAUCUGCUUGCCUUCAGCUGUCUCUCAACACAGGCACGCCCAGACAGACACACACACACACACACACGGGCAUACGCGCACACAUACACUCACGUGUGCGGUGUCUCAAGGGGCGACACUGCGUACUCGAGCAUACAGACAACCUCUUCGUUGCGUCCCUCUUCCUCUUUGCCUACAUGAUCCUCUCGUCGUUCGAACUACUAGCGAUCCUUCUCUUCUUGAUCCCUGCGCGGCGCUAAUCUGCACCAUCUCUUGCAAUCACUUUGCAUAUCCGCAGACGCACACCCGCACCUAGAGAGUCUUGCGCACCCUGUACAGGCCUCUGGGGCGCCCGAGCCAUGGCGAUUGGGCUUGGCCGCACUAUCAGCAGCCCUGUCUUCCUCUUUUUCCAAGUGCUUCAUGGCAUGAGCUUGUUCUUCGUCAUGCUUGGUGUAACGCGGGUGCUGCUCGGGAUGGCGGAGCUGUCGAUGAGUACUACCGCCGUCGAAGAUAGGACGCCGCCACAAGUGGCUCCUUUUGCCCUGUCGCUGGCCAUGAAAGGCCAACCGUACGCUGGGCCCGCACCAGCGACGCCGCGAGGGCUUCACCGACCUGACAGACUGGGUGAAAUCGUAUACCAGCAUGCUAGCAUGCUUGACUUGCUCGUGGAAGACACUCUCUCUUCUACAACGACAACUCUCGCGCCAGCACCACCGGCGGCGUCGCUGUCUUUUUUCGAGAAGCUCAGCUACUGCUUUCACGUACCUCUUGCUUCCUUGUUCGUGAGCACGGUUGACGUGCGUGCUGGAACAACUGUGGGGGCGCAAGACUUGCGACCUGGCGACGUCGCUGCCCCAGAUGGUGUAGUGAAAAAGGAUGUUCGCCUCUCUGGCGCCGACGCGCCUGCCGCCGGACAGCUGCGCGACGGCAGUGAGCGCCGCUUUUAUCUACAGCACAUGCUCGCGGCGCUCCUGUGUUCCUACCCCCUAGCAACGCUCCUGCAACGUCGCAAGCUCGUGCUCGACUUUGUUGUAACGAUCUAUCUAGCGUACUGGCUGCUGGCGGACAUCGUUCUCUGGCGUUUGCUCGGCGGCGGCCUACAUUGGUGGGCAGCAUGCGUUCUGGGGAUGACUGUCAUGUACGGUGCCACCUACGUCAUAUGCCGGCGGAAAGAGUUGCAAGAGAUUCGCUUUUCUGGCGGCGGUACGGCGGGCACCGGCGCAGGCGUGCCCGCGACCACGACAAUGUGGCUGAAGGACUGCCGUGGCGAGGAUGACAUCGUCGGCGAGGAGAUGCGUGUCAUCAGUCGAGAAACGCAGCGGCACAGCGGCAGCGGCGGUGCUGACGCUCAUGGCAGCAGUAAACCUCACGACGCUGCCGGCCGCUCUCGGGUCCCUGCGUCCGCGCAGAGCUCAAACGGAGCCAAGGUCGUUGCCGUCGAUGUGAGCCGCGCGCCAGAAGAGGCGACGCAUAAGCAUAAGAUGGUGUAGCAGCGUGCGCCCGUCUUCUUGCUGAGCCGUGUUGCGUGUGCACUGGCGCCUCUGCGCCGGUGCGUGUGCUUUCAGCGGUGCGCUGCGGCUCUUCAUUGGCUCUCUCAUCUUCAACCCUGUGUGUCGUGAUGGAGGUCCUUCCUCAUAGAUUCUGCGAGGGAUACGCCCAUCUCCUGCUCUUGACCGGGCUGGGCUGCUCGAAUGUGUGCUCCUCGUUCCUGUUUACGUCCGCCGCUUCCUCUUUGUUUUUCUUGCCUCUCUGUGUGUGUGUGUGUGCUCCUCGCCGCCAUCAUGCGUGCAAGUGCGCGCUGAACUGACAACUGACAAACGUCGCCUCUCCUCUCUCCCCCUCUGUCGAGGCGGAGUCGGUGCGUGGGCGGCUUGCUCCAUGGAUCCCAACGGCUGUGUGGGCGUGAGCCCUGCGUGCGAAUGUAUCGUGGUGAGGGGAGCUAUGGCUUUGCGUAACCCCUCUGAUAAGCAACACUCGCGAGCCUGCCCCAGUGUCCCACGCGCCUAUGCCUCUCGUUAUCUCUUGUAGUACGCCUUCAUGCACAAGCACGCAUGCAGACGUCCGGUGUGAGACUGCCCAGUGCCUGUUUUGCCUCAUGGCGCCAUACCCACGCCCACCUCCUUUUCCUUUUCGCCCCGCCGAAUCCUCUCCCACGAUCGCGACCGCGCACCCACACGCACAUGCGCGCACGCUACGCUCAG
rnacentral:misc_RNA from 1 species